UGAUUGCUAACUUGUGUGUGUGUGUCUAU
rnacentral:piRNA from 1 species